AGCAGCACACAGAGUCUCCUGCCCCCUGCCUACUAGCGCUGGACCUGCUGGCUGCUUCUGGGGUGUGUGCAACUCUGUUUCAGGAUAGGCAAGCGGCCUACGUUAGCCCCGCUGACUGGGAGCUGUGCAAGGGAAAAGACCAUGCUAUACAAAGGCUUUCACACAAGCUGACAGAAGAGCUACCUGAGUUAUGACUGAAACCAGCUAAAACAUAUGUCCUAGUCUUGUUGGGGCUGCCCCACUGCUGAACAGUUCAUAGAAAGAUGGUGCCCUUAUUGUUACUUAUUGGUGAUGACAGACAGCAACACUGCUCUCAGAUAUAGUCCCAUUAUGCCACAAUUAUCUAGUCAUGCCUUAAAGGCACAAAGCUACUCAAGACUUCUUCCUUCUGGAAUACUUCCCCUCAAGGCAACCAGUUCAAAGUAUACCCCCUAUUAACUGGAACACUGACAUCUUCAAAACAUUUCUGGACAGCAUAAUUCCACUCCUCCCGCAGAUCAGUACCCUUAGGAACUAAGCUGCUAUGAUUAAGCUCCUACCACAGCAAAAAUAAAAAUUUCAUUUUUACAUAUUUUGAUUAACCAUAUGCUUCAUUAAAGCCUUCACCACCAUUU